rnacentral:rRNA from 1 species
ACUUUCAGCAACGGAUCUCUUGGCUCUCGCAUCGAUGAAGAACGCAGCGANNNNNNNUAAGUAAUGUGAAUUGCAGAAUUCAGUGAAUCAUCGAAUCUUUGAACGCACCUUGCGCCCCUUGGUAUUCCGAGGGGCAUGCCUGUUUGAGUGUCAUUA